UGAAUACGAGAUGCUACGGCGUCGAAGCAGUGUAUGUCAGACUUCCAAGAAAAGCUCGCAAUGUCAUAAAUAAAUAAUGCCUGUACCAUAACCGACACAGGUGGGUAGGUAGAGUAUACUAAGGGGCGCGAGAUAACUCUCUCUAAGGAACUCGGCAAAAUAACUCCGUAACUUCGGGAGAAGGAGUGCCUUAUUUAUAAGGUUGCAAUAACAAGAUCCAAGCAACUGUUUAUCAAAAACACAGGUCUCCGCUAAGUCGUAAGACGAUGUAUGGGGGCUGACGCCUGCCCAGUGCCAGAAGGUUAAAGAAGUUGGUUAGCAUUGCGAAGCUGAUGACUGAAGCCCUGGUGAACGGCGGCCGUAACUAUAACGGUCCUAAGGUAGCGAAAUUCCUUGUCGGGUAAGUUCCGACCCGCACGAAAGGCGUAAUGAUUUGGAUACUGUCUCGGAGAGGGACUCGGUGAAAUAGACUUGUCUGUGAAGAUGCGGACUACCUGCACCAGGACAGAAAGACCCUAUGAAGCUUUACUGUAACUUGAAAUUGAAAUUGGACUUUAUUUGCGCAGUAUAGGUGGGAGGCGUUGAAAAUAAUCUCGCGGGAUUAUUGGAGCCAUCAGUGAGAUACCACUCCUAUAAUGUUAGAUUUCUAACUUUGUAUCAUUAUCUGGUCAAAGAACAGUUUCAGGCGGGCAGUUUGACUGGGGCGGUCGCCUCCUAAAUGGUAACGGAGGCGUACAAAGGUUUCCUCUGAACGGGUAGAAAUCGUAUCUAGAGUAUAAAGGCAUAAGGAAGCUUGACUGUGAGACCUACAAGUCGAGCAGGGACGAAAGUCGGUCUUAGUGAUCUGACGGUGCUGAGUGGAAAGGCCGUCACUCAACGGAUAAAAGUUACUCUAAGGAUAACAGGCUGAUCUCCCCCAAGAGUUCACAUCGACGGGGAGGUUUGGCACCUCGAUGUCGGCUCAUCGCAUCCUGGGGCGGUAGUACGUCCCAAGGGUUGGGCUGUUCGCCCAUGAAAGCGGUACGCGAGCUGGGUUCAGAACGUCGUGAGACAGUUCGGUCCAUAUCCGGUGUAGGCGUUAGAAUAUUGAGAGGAGCCUUCUUUAGUACGAGAGGACCGAGAAGGACAUACCUCUGGUGUACCAGUUAUCGUGCCAACGGUAAACGCUGGGUAGCUAUGUAUGGAGUGGAUAACCGCUGAAAGCAUCUAAGUGGGAAGCCCACCUCAAGAUGAG
rnacentral:rRNA from 1 species